UGGGGAAUAUUGCACAAUGGGCGGAAGCCUGAUGCAGCGACGCCGCGUGAGGGAUGACGGCCUUCGGGUUGUAAACCUAUUUCAGUAGGGACGAAGCGUAAGUGACGGUACCUGCAGAAGAAGCACCGGCUAACUACGUGCCAGCAGCCGCGGUAAUACGUAGGGUGCGAGCGUUGUCCGGAAUUACUGGGCGUAAAGAGCUCGUAGGCGGUUUGUCACGUCGUCUGUGAAAUCCUAGGGCUUAACCCUGGACGUGCAGGCGAUACGGGCUGACUUGAGUACUACAGGGGAGACUGGAAUUUCUGGUGUAGCGGUGGAAUGCACAGAUAUCAGGAAGAACACCGAUGGCGAAGGCAGGUCUCUGGGUAGUAACUGACGCUGAGGAGCGAAAGCAUGGGUAGCGAACAGG
rnacentral:rRNA from 1 species